rnacentral:rRNA from 1 species
AGGGUUUGAUCAUGGCUCAGAUUGAACGCUGGCGGCAGGCCUAACACAUGCAAGUCGAGCGGAUGAAGGGAGCUUGCUCCUGGAUUCAGCGGCGGACGGGUGAGUAAUGCCUAGGAAUCUGCCUGGUAGUGGGGGAUAACGUCCGGAAACGGGCGCUAAUACCGCAUACGUCCUGAGGGAGAAAGUGGGGGAUCUUCGGACCUCACGCUAUCAGAUGAGCCUAGGUCGGAUUAGCUAGUUGGUGGGGUAAAGGCCUACCAAGGCGACGAUCCGUAACUGGUCUGAGAGGAUGAUCAGUCACACUGGAACUGAGACGCGGUCCAGACUCCUACGGGAGGCAGCAGUGGGGAAUAUUGGACAAUGGGCGAAAGCCUGAUCCAGCCAUGCCGCGUGUGUGAAGAAGGUCUUCGGAUUGUAAAGCACUUUAAGUUGGGAGGAAGGGCAGUAAGUUAAUACCUUGCUGUUUUGACGUUACCAACAGAAUAAGCACCGGCUAACUUCGUGCCAGCAGCCGCGGUAAUACGAAGGGUGCAAGCGUUAAUCGGAAUUACUGGGCGUAAAGCGCGCGUAGGUGGUUCAGCAAGUUGGAUGUGAAAUCCCCGGGCUCAACCUGGGAACUGCAUCCAAAACUACUGAGCUAGAGUACGGUAGAGGGUGGUGGAAUUUCCUGUGUAGCGGUGAAAUGCGUAGAUAUAGGAAGGAACACCAGUGGCGAAGGCGACCACCUGGACUGAUACUGACACUGAGGUGCGAAAGCGCGGGGAGCGAACAGGAUUAGAUACCCUGGUAGUCCACGCCGUAAACGAUGUCGACUAGCCGUUGGGAUCCUUGAGAUCUUAGUGGCGCAGCUAACGCGAUAAGUCGACCGCCUGGGGAGUACGGCCGCAAGGAUAAAACUCAAAUGAAUUGACGGGGGCCCGCACAAGCGGUGGAGCAUGUGGUUUAAUUCGAAGCAACGCGAAGAACCUUACCUGGCCUUGACAUGCUGAGAACUUUCCAGAGAUGGAUUGGUGCCUUCGGGAACUCAGACACAGGUGCUGCAUGGCUGUCGUCAGCUCGUGUCGUGAGAUGUUGGGUUAAGUCCCGUAACGAGCGCAACCCUUGUCCUUAGUUACCAGCACCUCGGGUGGGCACUCUAAGGAGACUGCCGGUGACAAACCGGAGGAAGGUGGGGAUGACGUCAAGUCAUCAUGGCCCUUACGGCCAGGGCUACACACGUGCUACAAUGGUCGGUACAAAGGGUUGCCAAGCCGCGAGGUGGAGCUAAUCCCAUAAAACCGAUCGUAGUCCGGAUCGCAGUCUGCAACUCGACUGCGUGAAGUCGGAAUCGCUAGUAAUCGUGAAUCAGAAUGUCACGGUGAAUACGUUCCCGGGCCUUGUACACACCGCCCGUCACACCAUGGGAGUGGGUUGCUCCAGAAGUAGCUAGUCUAACCGCAAGGGGGACGGUUACCACGGAGUGAUUCAUGACUGGGGUGAAGUCGUAACAAGGUA